rnacentral:misc_RNA from 1 species
UACGUGUAACUUCCAUAAAGAACGCAAGGCCAAAACGAUAAAAUGGAAUCAUCACGAAAACAACCUCAGAAAUCAGAAUCCCACCGCAAACAAAUCGACGUUAAACUCAGGAUCACUGCACCCCCGAUGGCCAAGCAAUCCACCUCUGACUCAGCCGCGGCCAUCACCGCCAUCGCCGCCGCUGAAUCACUAUUCCAAGACGAUCUUGUUUUUCUUGACGAGCAGGAAGCAAAUGAUCUUAGUUACUGGGAACUCGUUAACCCAUCUGAUGCUGACUCCGAUACUGAAUCUCUACAUAGCCUCGAAAAUGGGUUCCUUUCUUUGUACUCUUUAAAACCCUCUUCACCACCAAAAUCACCAAUUAUCAACCAAGAAAUUCAAACCCUGGAGGCUCGCCAAGAUCAAGAUCUCGUUGUUGAUGUGAAUUUUCAAGACGAUCAUGUCAAAUAUUGUCAUGAAAGUGACUAUAGUCGUUAUCAGCGUGAGGCAGGGCCUAUAAUUUUCUCUGGUGUGGCUUACGGACUGGCUGACGCUGAUGCUGAUGAGUUGGAGGAGCAGGAGGAAGACGACGAGGAGGUUGGUGAUGAAGAUGGGUUUGGGCUGGAUGAUGAACUCGUUCCAUGGCACGUGAGCGCGAAGUUAGGAAGGCAGAGGAUGAGGAAGUUGGGGAAGAGGGUGUUUGCUAAAAUGGGGAAUUCCAAGCGGAAUCCAUAUUCGUAUGUGAAGCCAGGGUGUGUCCGAGGCAAGCAUGGACUGGGGAUUAAGGCUUGAAGAAUCUAACCCUUCGAUUGAAGGUAAUUUGGGGAAAACCUGAUCUUGAAAUGGAACUCUUUUCCAUUAAAUGUUUAAAUCAUUAUCUGGGAUAGUUGUUUAGGUGUAAGUAAUUGAAUUACUAGGGUUUAUUCAGGUUUUUCCUUUUGGGUUCUCCUCAUUGGAUGACUAAAUAUGGGUUCUAUUGUUCGACUUAUUUCUAUUCAAUAUAGAUUUUAUGAUCCAUAUGGUUUCCUAGUGUCUGUGCGCUGAUUGAGUGGCUCAAAUGAAACCCAAAUUUAACUAUUUUGAUCAUAUGUUCUUGGGAAUGUUAAUAGCAAUUUUUACUGGACAUCGCACCACAACUGUUAGAAGGUAAACAGAGAACUUUGUGAAGAAAUUGCUUUAGAAGAUAUGAUCUUGAAAUGUGUAUAUGCUGGAUACUGAUUUGGUUAUCAGAUUAAUUGCUAUUGUUGAACUAAAUGGGUGUUGGGUGAUUGAAUUUUGAGGUUAACUUAAUUAGUUCUGGGGAAAUUUUUAUGAGGUGUGUGAGACGUUGAAGUUGAGGACGCAAAUGAACUCUUUUAAUCAUUUGGGCCACCCAAGUUUGAUUCAUAGGUUCAUAGCUGCUUCAAGACAAGAGUGAUAAUAGUAAUAUUACAGUAAUCAGUAUUAAUUUGCGCUUUUAUGAAGAGAAUUUUGAUUCCUGUGAGAUGAUUGCUUGUCUGUGAAAAGCAUUAGGUUGUGAUGCUUGAAAAUGAUUAGAUCUUGGGGCCAGAAAUCCUAUAUGGGCAUCAGCAGAUUGAUUCAUAUGCCUUUUGACUAAUUUUCUCCAAUAUUUUGCCCCAACCUCAAGUUGCUGGGUAUCUUUUGUUCUUAGUGUUCACAAAAUUGUUGAAGUAGGAGGGUUUUGGAUGUCCAUUGUCUAGCUUUUAACUGUUUAGUUGAUGGGGUUUGGAGAGAGGGACCAAAGUUUAUAACCUCUUAGGCUCCUAAUACAAAUUCAUUAGUUGUUAAAAAUAUUUUUGUUUUGUGAAUCUCUU